UUUCGCAAUGCCCGAAAGGGUGACGAAGCGACGCCGCGUGAGUGAGGAAGGCCUUCGGGUUGUAAAGCUCUGUCAGGAGUUAAGAAAUAUAAGUGUGUUAAUACCACAUUUAUUUGACGAAGGCUCCAAAGGAAGCCACGGCUAACUCUGUGCCAGCAGCCGCGGUAAUACAGAGGUGGCAAGCGUUGUUCGGAAUUAUUGGGCGUAAAGAGCACGUAGGUGGGUUUGUAAGUCAGAUGUGAAAGCCUUCUGUCCAACGGAAGAAUUGCAUCUGAAACUGCGAGUCUUGAGUGUAGGAGGGGAGAAUGGAACUUCUGGUGGAGCGGUGAAAUGCGUAGAUAUCAGAAGGAACGCCGGCGGCGAAAGCGAUUCUCUGGCCUAUUACUGACACUCGGUGUGCGAAAGCUAGGGGAGCAAACGGGAUUAGAUACCCCGGUAGUCCUAGCUGUAAACGAUGGGCACUAAGUAGAGGGGUUUUA
rnacentral:rRNA from 1 species